ensembl:lncRNA
CUGAACUGAACUGAGAAUAUACAGCCUUGUUGUACUCCUUUACCAAUUUUUAACCAGUCUGUUGUUCCAUGUCCAGUUAUAAUAGUUGCUUCUUGACUUGCAUCCUGCUGCUGCUGCUGCUAAGUCGCUUCAAUCGUGUCCAGCUCUAUGCGACCCCAUAGAUGGCAGCCCAUCAGGCUCCACCGUCCCUGGGAUUCUCCAGUUUUAACAUUUAUUGAUGCUUGCUGCUGCUGCUGCUAAGUCGCUUCAGUCGUGUCCGACUCUGUGCGACCCAAUAGACAGCAGCCCACCAGGCUCCCCCGUCCCUGGGAUUCUCCAGGCAAGAACACUGGAGUGGGUUGCCAUUUCCUUCUCCAAUGCAUGAAAGUGAAAAGUGAAAGUGAAGUCGCUGAGUUGUGUCUGACCCUCAGCAACCCCAUGGACUGCAGCCUUCCAGGCUCCUCCAUCCAUGGGAUUUUCCAGAAUUCAUUCCUGAAGCCAUCUGGACCUGGUGCUUGCUUUGAGAAAAGUUAAGUUCAUUCAAAUUCUUUAAUGGCUAUAAGAUUUUUUUAAAUUGAAGACUAUAUAUUUUUAGGAUGGGAAAAAAUCUAACUUUAAUUUAUAAUUAACAAAGGUAAAAUGAAGUUUGAUUUUUUUGUUUUUGUUUUUUUCUUUUUUGGCCUUGCCGCUUGAGGGACCUUUGUUCCCUGACCAAGGACUGAACCUGGGCCCCCCAGCAGUGGAAGUGACAAGUCCUAACUACUGGAUCACCAGGGAAUUCUCAAAAUGAAGGUUUUUAUUGGAUUAUUUGACAGCCUAAAAAUUUUUCCCCAAAACAUGACAAUCCAAACGUCCUGUAAACAAUAAACUGUGGUUCCAAAGCACACAGCCUUUUUCAUUACUGAAAAUACUAUCUUUAU